UACAGAGGGGGCAAGCAUUGUUCGGAAUUACUGGGCGUAAAGGGUGCGUAGGCGGCUCUCUAAGUCGGAUGUGAAAACUCUGGGCUCAACCCAGAGCCUGCAUCCGAAACUGGAGGGCUAGGGUGCUGGAGGGGAAAGCGGAAUUCCUGGUGUAGCGGUGAAAUGCGUAGAUAUCAGGAGGAACACCGGUGGCGAAGGCGGCUUUCUGGACAGUAACCGACGCUGAGGCACGAAAGCUAGGGGAGCAAACAGG
rnacentral:rRNA from 1 species